UCCAAGUUCAUUUUUUGUCAUAUAGCGGAAAAGCAGUGCGUGAACUUGGAACACGCCUAAGUAAACUUAUUCAAAUACGUCUUUUCUAUUUAUAUGCAAAGACUCGUGUAAAAUUGCGAAGAGAAGUUGCUCUGCUAAUGUUGGUGUACGGGCAUAUCUGCCAAGAUAUUAACCUGGACCCGGAUAAAAAUGUGGACUGCAGGCCCUCCACCGAACACUUACUGAAAAAGAAGCUCAAUAAAGAGAGAGGCCUUCCACUUCGUCACAUUUGGACUACCCCUACUGAGACCAUUUGUAUAACUAGAACCAAAACUUAGGAACCAGGAAAAGAAAAACAAAGAGGAUGCUCGCAAUCCUAACUGAUACUUCGAUUAAAGAAGCCCAAAGACAAGAGCAUUUAGAAGUUACAAAGUAAAAAGCACAAUGGGCAGGGCAAAACAAAAAAAAGAAAUUACCCAAAAAUUUCCAAGUUUCUAUUGAAGCAGAACUAGAAGACAAAAGAAAAAAGCAUGAAACCAAAAACUGCGACAGGAAAAAAAUUAGAACACUCUGUAAAAAGGAAAUUAGUGAGCUUUGCUGAUGACGAAGUAGAAAAUUGUGCUUGCAUCUAUUUUUUGAAAGCACAUAACCAAUCCAAAAAAAAAGGACAAGACAGGGCUCAAUGUCUUAGGUGUCAAAACAUGAUUCCAUGACAAGUACGUGAAAAUAAAACUCUUUAUUUUUGUUGGCAAAAUCUUACAGUGAUGAAGAAGAUGACUAAAUAGUUUCGGUUUUUAAGUAGCUGUAAACCCUAUGAAUUUA